rnacentral:hammerhead_ribozyme from 1 species
GCAUUGCUGAGGAGUCCCACAAUAGGGCGAAACGAUCGUACGGUGC